CCCUUAGAUGUUCUGGGCUGCACGCGCGCGACAAUGACGUUUGCAACGAGAUACGAGACCGAAAGGUUAAGUUGAUCUAGCAAGCUGCGUCGUGAUAGGGACUGUCGAUUGCAAUUAUUCGACACGAACGAGGAAUUCCUUGUAAUCGCACAUCAUCAGUGUGCGCUGAAUACGUCCCUGCCCUUUGUACACACCGCCCGUCGCUCCUACCGAUCGAGUGAUCCGGUGAAUGUUUUGGAUCGGUUGCAAGUUGCGCGACGCGCUUCUUGCAUGCUGUGAAAUCAUGUAAGCCUUAUUGCUUAGAGGAAGGAGAAGUCGUANCA
rnacentral:rRNA from 1 species